CCCUUUGAUCAUGGCUCAGAUUGAACGCUGGCGGCAGGCCUAACACAUGCAAGUCGAGCGGAUGAAGGGAGCUUGCUCCUGGAUUCAGCGGCGGACGGGUGAGUAAUGCCUAGGAAUCUGCCUGGUAGUGGGGGAUAACGUCCGGAAACGGGCGCUAAUACCGCAUACGUCCUGAGGGAGAAAGUGGGGGAUCUUCGGACCUCACGCUAUCAGAUGAGCCUAGGUCGGAUUAGCUAGUUGGUGGGGUAAAGGCCUACCAAGGCGACGAUCCGUAACUGGUCUGAGAGGAUGAUCAGUCACACUGGAACUGAGACACGGUCCAGACUCCUACGGGAGGCAGCAGUGGGGAAUAUUGGACAAUGGGCGAAAGCCUGAUCCAGCCAUGCCGCGUGUGUGAAGAAGGUCUUCGGAUUGUAAAGCACUUUAAGUUGGGAGGAAGGGCAGUAAGUUAAUACCUUGCUGUUUUGACGUUACCAACAGAAUAAGCACCGGCUAACUUCGUGCCAGCAGCCGCGGUAAUACGAAGGGUGCAAGCGUUAAUCGGAAUUACUGGGCGUAAAGCGCGCGUAGGUGGNUUCAGCAAGUGGGAUGUGAAAUCCCCGGGCUCAACCUGGGAACUGCAUNCAAAACUACUGAGCUAGAGUACGGUAGAAGGUGGUGGGAAUUUCCUGUGUAGCGGUGAAAUGCCUAGAUAUAGGAAGGGAACAACCAAUGCCGAAGCCACCACCUGGACUUGAUCUGACACUGAGGUGGCGAAAGCGUGGGGAGCAAACCAGGAUAGAAACCCUGGUAGUCCACGCCGAAACCAUGUCCACUAACCG
rnacentral:rRNA from 1 species